GGCUACCACAUCCAAGGAAGGCAGCAGGCGCGCAAAUUACCCAAUCCCGACACGGGGAGGUAGUGACAAUAAAUACUGAUACAGGGCUCUUUUGGGUCUUGUAAUUGGAAUGAGUACAAUUUAAAUACCUUAACGAGGAACAAUUGGAGGGCAAGUCUGGUGCCAGCAGCCGCGGUAAUUCCAGCUCCAAUAGCGUAUAUUAAAGUUGUUGCAGUUAAAAAGCUCGUAGUUGAACCUUGGGCCUGGCUGGCCGGUCUGCCUCACCGCAUGUACUGGUUCGGCCGGGCCUUUCCUCCUGGGGAGCCGCAUGCCCUUCACUGGGUGUGUUGGGGAACCAGGACUUUUACUUUGAAAAAAUUAGAGUGUUCAAAGCAGGCCUUUGCUCGAAUACAUUAGCAUGGAAUAAUAGAAUAGGACGUGCGGUCCUAUUUUGUUGGUUUCUAGGACCGCCGUAAUGAUUAAUAGGGACAGUCGGGGGCAUCAGU
rnacentral:rRNA from 1 species